rnacentral:lncRNA from 1 species
CGGAAGCCCACAGGUCCACGGGCCCAACAAGAGGAUAUUGAGCAGAUUGGGCCGUUGGAAAGAAACUAUAAAGUUAAUAAAAUUUGGAAACUUGAGGGAUAUAAAUUGAAAUGGAUUUGGGAAAGAAUAAUGUGAUUAUAAAGAUUGUAAGUAAACAAAAUUAAUAUAGAAAAUAUAAAUUAAAACAAGAUAAAAAACCAAAAGUAAAAUGAAUUAGAACACUAAAAUUUACUAAAAAAAUACUAAAAAUCAAGACUAGUAAUUAAAAUUAAUAAAUAUAAAAUUUAAGUAAAACAAAUAAUUUUCUUAAAAAUCUAAGGGAAAUAUCAAUAAGAAUUCAAAAUUAUAGUAACUAAAUAGGACAAAUUAAAAUAAAUGUGAAGAAAGAAAAUAUUAAAAGAGUCUAAAAUUUAAAUAAUAAAGUAUCUAGUUAAAUUUAGAUAACUUAUUUUCUUGGAGAGAUAUUGAGAUAAUAAGGGAGUUACUAGGCUUUAAGUGUGGUAUUGGGUUCUAGUUUGGGACGAGGUUUAGUUGUUUGAGGAUUCUGAAUUAGUUACUAUUCAUAGUCUUGGGACUCAAGGACAUGAAUGAUUGCAAUCAGAGUGAAAAUUGUGAAAUGGUGACCGAUGAGUAUUGAGUGAUUGUAUGUAUUCUUUUACAUUAUUUUAUUGUCAUUGAUUAAUUUCGCUUCCACCCUUAACUAGUUGGUGACCUGGUGCCCUUUUUAAAAUUAAUGUAAGCAGUUGCGCACACAGAAUUGUAAUCAGUAAAACCUAAUCUAUGUUUAAAAAUUGAUAAUAAAACUUAAAGAUGUGGCUAGUCCUAUGUGUGUGUGAGAGAGAGAGAGUUUUGUAAACCUAUUGAAUAUGGUAUUGAGCAUCAUUGAUAAUUGAAUGAGUUAUGUAAACACAUUGAAUACGGUAUUGAGCGCUUAGUGACGGUUGUAUUGUUAUUAUAAAGAUUGUAUAGUAUGGAACUAUGGUUUUAUUGAUAUAUUAUUGUUUUUAUUUAAUUUUGCAUUAAGG